GCCACCAUUGGGUUACUGCCCUGGACACAAGUCAGACUGGAUGCUUGUUCAGUCCCAGUGGUGGACAAGCUGGCUGGCUAGAUCUAGAACCAAAGGGCCUUUGAUUUUUGGGAGUGGUUCUAGUUAGGUUUAGGGGACAAGUUCUCUGCACAACAGGUAGAAGAGUGAAACACCAGAGUCCAAACAUGAAGCACUGUUACUUGCCAAUUAUAAAGAUGACCACUAGUCAGACAGGGGCCUCGAGGCCUGUGCCAGAUGGUGCUGCUUCAGCCACAAGUCUCUCGCCAUCUGAGGUUUUUGUUCUCCCCCUCCUGUCACUGCCCCCCAAAAAAGUACAGCUGUAGCACCAUUUCAUAAUGUGUCCCUGACUGAAACACGACAAAACAGUCUUGUGAAGAUGUUCCCCCCUAUUGCAGAUGGUACUUGAAGCCUGGUGUUAAGCGUUAAGCCAGCUCACCGAAGGUACUAUAAUCUAGCAUUUAAAAAGCUCAAAACACUGACCAUGUGAUGUGAGAACACCACAUGCCACUGUGACUCAAGCCAUGGACAGUGAGAAGAAAUGGUGGCAGAGGAGAUCAGGGCAGUGCUGCCCUUAAAUACCUGGGGAAGGGCCACAGGACAUGAGCCCUGCUCCUACAAGCAGGGCUCAUGCUUAGUCCCUAGCCCCUAUGGUCUAGGAACUAGGCAAAGUUUUCUAGCUUUGAUGUGUUCGGCACAUACACAGGAUACAUUGCAUUUACUCAAAUACCUUAUAGCACAUCCUUAUGGGCAGAUGGGAAAUGUUGACACAUUAGGAAACUUGUAUUUUUUGCUAAUUCUACUUGCAUAUGUACAGUAGGCCUAACUACAUCUAAAUAAUGAAUUCUUCUGAAACUAAUUCUUUCCUCUGAAACAGACUUCAGGAUUCAUAAAAUUGUGUGUAAACUAGUAGGAAGCUAUCCCUUUAGUAAAUUUUCAUCAGAGGAAACAUGCCAUACAUUGUUGGCAUGAUGGUCACUUUUAUUUAGUGCAACUCUGUUUCAAAAGAUAUUGACGUUAAAGUGUGUGGCAGUAGAUGCUAUGGACAUGUCUAAAACAUAUCUUUUUUUAAUAGAAUAUCCACGUGUGCCUGGGUGGCUUGUUCGUACCUGAGGCUUACAUUACUGCUACAAGACAAUAUGUGGCUCAAGCAAACAGCUGGUCCCUGGAAGAACUUUGUCUAGAAGUCAAUGUUACAACUACUCAGAAUGCAGUCCUGGAUGCCUGCAGUUUUGGAGUUACAGGUUUGAAGCUUCAGGGAGCUACAUGCAGUAACAACAAACUGUCCCUUUCAAAUGCAAUAUCAACUAUAUUGCCCAUAACACAGCUUCGCUGGAUCAAGCAGACAAAUGCUGACAAAAAGGCUAAUGUGGUUACAUUACCAGUCUAUCUGAACUUCACGCGUGCUGAUCUGAUCUUCACUGUUGACUUUGAAAUUGCCACCAAGGAAGAUCCUCGCAGUUUCUAUGAACGUGGUGUUGCAGUCCUCUGCACAGAGUAACAAGACAAUGUUUUCUAAAUGAUACACAAUUUUACUACUAUUUAAUCUGCAGUGUUAGUCACCAAGGCAUGGGGAAGUUGUCAGGAUGGUUGACACAAAGUUGACUUGCUAGAAGCUGGUGUACUUAAAGUGAUACUGAUAGUGUGAGAGGAAAAUUGGAUGUGGUUUUUAGAUGGUUCUAAUUACAUGUGCUUAAUGCUUGAUGGUCUAUACUACAUUAAAUACAUUCUGUAGCAUUAUU